rnacentral:rRNA from 1 species
AUUGAACGCUGGCGGCAGGCCUAACACAUGUAAGUCGAACGAGUGGCGGACGGGUGAGUAAUGUCUGGGAAACUGCCUGAUGGAGGGGGAUAACUACUGGAAACGGUAGCUAAUACCGCAUACCAUUGGAUGUGCCCAGAUGGGAUUAGCUAGUGGGUGGGGUAACGGCUCACCUAGGCGACGAUCCCUAGCUGGUCUGAUAGGAUGACCAGCCACACUGGGACUGAGACACGGUCCAGACUCCUAAGGGAGGCAGCAGUGGGGAAUAUUGCACAAGGGGGGCAAUCCUGAUGCAGCCAUCCCGCGUGUAUGAAGAAGGCCUUCGGGUUGUAAAGUACUUUCAGCAGGGAGGCGUUACCCGCAGAAGAAGCACCGGCUAACUCCGUGCCAGCAGCCGCGGUAAUUC